GAUGAACGCUGGCGGCGUGCCUAAUACAUGCAAGUCGAGCGAACAGACGAGGAGCUUGCUCCUCUGACGUCAGCGGCGGACGGGUGAGUAACACGUGGAUAACCUACCUAUAAGACUGGGAUAACUUCGGGAAACCGGAGCUAAUACCGGAUAAUAUAUUGAACCGCAUGGUUCAAUAGUGAAAGACGGUUUUGCUGUCACUUAUAGAUGGAUCCGCGCCGCAUUAGCUAGUUGGUAAGGUAACGGCUUACCAAGGCAACGAUGCGUAGCCGACCUGAGAGGGUGAUCGGCCACACUGGAACUGAGACACGGUCCAGACUCCUACGGGAGGCAGCAGUAGGGAAUCUUCCGCAAUGGGCGAAAGCUUGACGGAGCAACGCCGCGUGAGUGACGAAGGUCUUCGGAUCGUAAAACUCUGUUAUUAGGGAAGAACAAAUGUGUAAGUAACUAUGCACGUCUUGACGGUACCUAAUCAGAAAGCCACGGCUAACUACGUG
rnacentral:rRNA from 1 species